rnacentral:misc_RNA from 1 species
GAUGAAGAACGUAUCGAAAUGCGAUAAGUAGUGUGAAUUGCAGACUUUAGUGAAUCAUCGAAUCUUUGAACGCACAUUGCGCCCCUUGGUAUUCCAUUGGGCAUGCCUGUUCGAGCGUCAUUUACACCCUCAAGCCUAGCUUGGUGUUGGGCGUUGUCCGCAAGGACUCGCCUCAAAUUCAUUGGCAGCGGCAUCGUCAGCUUCUCGCGCAGCACAUUGCGCUUCAGAAGGCUUCUGGCGGGCUCGCGUCCACUAAGAUACCACCCAGUUUGACCUCGAAUCAGGUAGGGAUACCCGCUGAACUUAAGCAUAUCAAUAAGCGGAGGA